AGGUACCAAGCUGCUUUACCUAUUUGUGCGAGAGACACUGAGUAUUCGUUUCAAUGAUGGUGAAGAAACAUUGGAUACCAGCUUACAGUCUAUAUACGAUGCUACGAAAGAUGGUCGUCUGGAUGACAUAGUACUAGCACUGGCAUAUCUUACUAAAGACUAUUUAAUUGAACAGGAGAGUGUCAUGUGAUUUAAUCUAAUGUUUUCACAUUGACUCAAGUUAGCAUUUUAACACUAUAUUUACAAAUGUAUUUAAUUUUAGAAACGUUAUAUGUAGUUAUAUCCACCUUGUAUGUAGUUGGUAAAAGUGUUGCCUAAAGAUGGGGCUAAAUCUGUUCGGCGGAUGUGCGGUUUGUUUAAAUUCUGAGCGCACUAUAUUCAUAAAAUAUGAUGUACUGUACUUAGUUAAUAUCUAACAUCGUUCUGGUUCGCUAUGCUUUUAUUUUAAAUGAAUAUAGAUUAGAGUUUCAAUUUAGAAGAUGCCGAAACAACGCGAAAUUUGGAUAUUCUUUGCAUCAGAGGGCCCUCACAUAGCACAUGCGCAGAACAGCCUUGACCCAGUCUUUAAUUAAGAGGUUGAAAAUGUUUUUAAUCAUAAGCGUUUCUGAACAGCAGAUUGAGGUGAACGAAGAAAUGUUGACAAUUGAAGCAAAAGAGAACUGAAGUUUAUCUCUCAAGUUUAUUUAUUUUCCACUAAAUACAGUACAAUUCUAGUACAUAUAAUGAGAAUAAUUAUUAACAUUAUUUUAUCACACUGAUAACUGUCAGUUGACCAUCAUAGCUGCUGCACGUUUGUGUUGUAUGUAAAGUUGAAGAAAUGGAAAAUUGCUGUAAUCUGCAACAAAAGUUGGUUAUUUUCAACCUAUGGUUUCAACGCAUACAGUAUUAGUCCACAUUGUGCACGCAUUCUUGAAACUUAUUCGAGAACAAAUUGGAUGAUAAACCCGUGUUUAAAUGAGCUUUUGUUGAAAGUUACAGCAAUUUCGUCUUUACUUGAAA